AGUGAACGCUGGCGGUAGGCCUAACACAUGCAAGUCGAACGGCAGCACAGGAGAGCUUGCUCUCUGGGUGGCGAGUGGCGGACGGGUGAGGAAUACAUCGGAAUCUACUCUGUCGUGGGGGAUAACGUAGGGAAACUUACGCUAAUACCGCAUACGACCUACGGGUGAAAGCAGGGGAUCUUCGGACCUUGCGCGAUUGAAUGAGCCGAUGUCGGAUUAGCUAGUUGGCGGGGUAAAGGCCCACCAAGGCGACGAUCCGUAGCUGGUCUGAGAGGAUGAUCAGCCACACUGGAACUGAGACACGGUCCAGACUCCUACGGGAGGCAGCAGUGGGGAAUAUUGGACAAUGGGCGCAAGCCUGAUCCAGCCAUACCGCGUGGGUGAAGAAGGCCUUCGGGUUGUAAAGCCCUUUUGUUGGGAAAGAAAUCCAUCUGGUUAAUACCCGGGUGGGAUGACGGUACCCAAAGAAUAAGCACCGGCUAACUUCGUGCCAGCCGCCGCAGUAA
rnacentral:rRNA from 1 species